rnacentral:misc_RNA from 1 species
GAUGAAGAACGCAGCGAAAUGCGAUAAGUAAUGUGAAUUGCAGAAUUCAGUGAAUCAUCGAAUCUUUGAACGCACAUUGCGCCCCUUGGUAUUCCGAGGGGCAUGCCUGUUCGAGCGUCAUUAUAACCCCUCAAGCUCAGCUUGGUGUUGGGGCCUGCUGCACUGGCAGCCAUUAAAAUCAGUGGCGGCGCCAUCUGGCUCUAAGCGUAGUAAUUCUUCUCGCUAUGGAGUCCUGGUGGAUGCUUGCCAUCAACCCCCAAUUUUUCUAUGGUUGACCUCGGAUCAGGUAGGGAUACCCGCUGAACUUAAGCAUAUCAAUAAGCGGAGGA